rnacentral:rRNA from 1 species
AUUGAACGCUGGCGGCAUGCCUUACACAUGCAAGUCGAACGGCAGCACGGGUGCUUGCACCUGGUGGCGAGUGGCGAACGGGGGAGUAAUACAUCGGAACAUGUCCUGUAGUGGGGGAUAGCCGGGCGAAAGCCGGAUUAAUACCGCAUACGAUCUACGAAGGAAAGCGGGGGAUCUUCGGGCCUCGCGCUAUAGGGUUGGCCGAUGGCUGAUUAGCUAGUUGGUGGGGUAAAGGCCUACCAAGGCGACGAUCAGUAGCUGGUGUGAGAGGACGACCAGCCACACUGGGACUGAGACACGGCCCAGACUCCUACGGGAGGCAGCAGUGGGGAAUUUUGGACAAUGGGCGAAAGCCUGAUCCAGCAAUGCCGAGUGUGUGAAGAAGGCCUUCGGGUUGUAAAGCACUUUUGUCCGGAAAGAAAUCCUUGGCCCUAAUACGGUCGGGGGAUGACGGUACCGGAAGAAUAAGCACCGGCUAACUACGUG